rnacentral:rRNA from 1 species
GCUGGGUUUAGAACGUCGUGAGACAGUUCGGUCCCUAUCCGUCGUGGGCGUAGGAAAUUUGAGAGGAGCUGUCCUUAGUACGAGAGGACCGGGAUGGACAUACCUCUGGUGUACCAGUUGUCGUGCCAACGGCAUAGCUGGGUAGCUAUGUAUGGACGGGAUAAGUGCUGAAAGCAUCUAAGCAUGAAGCCCCCCUCAAGAUGAGAUUUCCCAACUUCGGUUAUAAGAUCCCUCGAAGAUGACGAGGUUAAUAGGUUCGAGGUGGAAGCGUGGUGACACGUGGAGCUGACGAAUACUAAUCGAUCGAAGACUUAAUCAA